UAAGCGACUAAGCGUACACGGUGGAUGCCCUGGCAGUCAGAGGCGAUGAAGGACGUGCUAAUCUGCGAAAAGCGUCGGUAAGGUGAUAUGAACCGUUAUAACCGGCGAUGUCCGAAUGGGGAAACCCAGUGCAAUUCGUUGCACUAUCGUUAACUGAAUACAUAGGUUAACGAGGCGAACCGGGGGAACUGAAACAUCUAAGUACCCCGAGGAAAAGAAAUCAACCGAGAUUCCCCCAGUAGCGGCGAGCGAACGGGGAGCAGCCCAGAGUCUGAAUCAGCUUGUGUGUUAGUGGAACGGUCUGGAAAGUCCGACGGUACAGGGUGAUAGUCCCGUACACCAAAAUGCACAGGUUGUGAACUCGAAGAGUAGGGCGGGACACGUGGUAUCCUGUCUGAAUAUGGGGGGACCAUCCUCCAAGGCUAAAUACUCCUGACUGACCGAUAGUGAACCAGUACCGUGAGGGAAAGGCGAAAAGAACCCCGGCGAGGGGAGUGAAAAAGAACCUGAAACCGUGUACGUACAAGCAGUGGGAGCACCUUCGGGUGUGACUGCGUACCUUUUGUAUAAUGGGUCAGCGACUUAUAUUCUGUAGCAAGGUUAACCGUAUAGGGGAGCCGCAGGGAAACCGAGUCUUAACUGGGCGUUAAGUUGCAGGGUAUAGACCCGAAACCCGGUGAUCUAGCCAUGGGCAGGUUGAAGGUUGGGUAACACUAACUGGAGGACCGAACCGACUAAUGUUGAAAAAUUAGCGGAUGACUUGUGGCUGGGGGUGAAAGGCCAAUCAAACCGGGAGAUAGCUGGUUCUCCCCGAAAGCUAUUUAGGUAGCGCCUCGUGAACUCAUCUUCGGGGGUAGAGCACUGUUUCGGCUAGGGGGUCAUCCCGACUUACCAACCCGAUGCAAACUACGAAUACCGAAGAAUGUUAUCACGGGAGACACACGGCGGGUGCUAACGUCCGUCGUGAAGAGGGAAACAACCCAGACCGCCAGCUAAGGUCCCAAAGUCACAGUUAAGUGGGAAACGAUGUGGGAAGGCACAGACAGCCAGGAUGUUGGCUUAGAAGCAGCCAUCAUUUAAAGAAAGCGUAAUAGCUCACUGGUCGAGUCGGCCUGCGCGGAAGAUGUAACGGGGCUAAACUGUGCACCGAAGCUGCGGCAGCGACACUAUGUGUUGUUGGGUAGGGGAGCGUUCUGUAAGCCUGCGAAGGUGGCCUGUGAGGGUUGCUGGAGGUAUCAGAAGUGCGAAUGCUGACAUAAGUAACGAUAAUGCGGGUGAAAAGCCCGCACGCCGGAAGACCAAGGGUUCCUGUCCAACGUUAAUCGGGGCAGGGUGAGUCGACCCCUAAGGCGAGGCCGAAAGGCGUAGUCGAUGGGAAACAGGUUAAUAUUCCUGUACUUGGUGUUACUGCGAAGGGGGGACGGAGAAGGCUAUGUUAGCCGGGCGACGGUUGUCCCGGUUUAAGCAUGUAGGCGGAGGUUCCAGGUAAAUCCGGUACCUUUUUAACGCUGAGGUGUGAUGACGAGGCACUACGGUGCUGAAGUAACAAAUGCCCUGCUUCCAGGAAAAGCCUCUAAGCAUCAGGUAACAUUGAAUCGUACCCCAAACCGACACAGGUGGUCAGGUAGAGAAUACCAAGGCGCUUGAGAGAACUCGGGUGAAGGAACUAGGCAAAAUGGUGCCGUAACUUCGGGAGAAGGCACGCUGAUAUGUAGGUGAAGCCCCUGCGGGUGGAGCUGAAAUCAGUCGAAGAUACCAGCUGGCUGCAACUGUUUAUUAAAAACACAGCACUGUGCAAACACGAAAGUGGACGUAUACGGUGUGACGCCUGCCCGGUGCCGGAAGGUUAAUUGAUGGGGUUAUCCGUAAGGAGAAGCUCUUGAUCGAAGCCCCGGUAAACGGCGGCCGUAACUAUAACGGUCCUAAGGUAGCGAAAUUCCUUGUCGGGUAAGUUCCGACCUGCACGAAUGGCGUAAUGAUGGCCAGGCUGUCUCCACCCGAGACUCAGUGAAAUUGAACUCGCUGUGAAGAUGCAGUGUACCCGCGGCAAGACGGAAAGACCCCGUGAACCUUUACUAUAGCUUGACACUGAACAUUGAGCCUUGAUGUGUAGGAUAGGUGGGAGGCUUUGAAGCGUGGACGCCAGUCUGCGUGGAGCCAACCUUGAAAUACCACCCUUUAAUGUUUGAUGUUCUAACGUUGGCCCCUGACCGGGGUUGCGGACAGUGUCUGGUGGGUAGUUUGACUGGGGCGGUCUCCUCCCAAAGAGUAACGGAGGAGCACGAAGGUUAGCUAAUCCUGGUCGGACAUCAGGAGGUUAGUGCAAUGGCAUAAGCUAGCUUGACUGCGAGCGUGACGGCGCGAGCAGGUGCGAAAGCAGGUCAUAGUGAUCCGGUGGUUCUGAAUGGAAGGGCCAUCGCUCAACGGAUAAAAGGUACUCCGGGGAUAACAGGCUGAUACCGCCCAAGAGUUCAUAUCGACGGCGGUGUUUGGCACCUCGAUGUCGGCUCAUCACAUCCUGGGGCUGAAGUAGGUCCCAAGGGUAUGGCUGUUCGCCAUUUAAAGUGGUACGCGAGCUGGGUUUAGAACGUCGUGAGACAGUUCGGUCCCUAUCUGCCGUGGGCGCUGGAGAAUUGAGGGGGGCUGCUCCUAGUACGAGAGGACCGGAGUGGACGCAUCACUGGUGUUCGGGUUGUCAUGCCAAUGGCAUUGCCCGGUAGCUAAAUGCGGAAGAGAUAAGUGCUGAAAGCAUCUAAGCACGAAACUUGCCCCGAGAUGAGUUCUCCCUGAGACUUUAAGUCUCCUGAAGGAACGUUAAAGACGAUGACGUUGAUAGGUCGGGUGUGUAAGCGUAGCGAUACGUUGAGCUAACCGAUACUAAUGAACCGUGAGGCUUAACCU
rnacentral:rRNA from 1 species